CCUAUGAAGCUUUACUGUAACUUGAAAUUGAAAUUGGACUUUAUUUGCGCAGUAUAGGUGGGAGGCUUUGAAGAUAUUCUUGCGGGAAUAUUUGAGCCAUCAGUGAGAUACCACUCUUGUAAUGUUAGAUUUCUAACUUUGUAUCAUAAUCUGGUCAAAGAACAGUUUCAGGCGGGCAGUUUGACUGGGGCGGUCGCCUCCCAAAUGGUAACGGAGGCGUACAAAGGUUUCCUCUGAACGUGUAGAAAUCGUAUCUAGAGUGUAAAGGCAUAAGGAAGCUUGACUGUGAGACCUACAAGUCGAGCAGGGACGAAAGUCGGUCUUAGUGAUCUGACGGUACUGAGUGGAAAGG
rnacentral:rRNA from 1 species